CUGACCUCAGAUCAGGCAAGAGCACCCGCUAAUUUAAGC
rnacentral:rRNA from 1 species